UACGUAGGAGGCGAGCGUUAUCCGGAUUUACUGGGCGUAAAGAGGGUGUAGGCGGCUUUUCAAGUCAGGUGUGAAAUCUCCCAGCUUAACUGGGAGGGGUCAUCUGAUACUGUUGGGCUAGAGGGCAGCAGAGGGAGGUGGAAUUCCCGGUGUAGUGGUGAAAUGCGUAGAUAUCGGGAGGAACACUAGUGGCGAAGGCGCCUCCUGGGCUGUUGCUGACGCUGAGACCCGAAGGCGUGGGGAGCGAACAGGAUUAGAUACCCCGGUA
rnacentral:rRNA from 1 species